UUGAGCCUACGGGGGGCAGCAGUGGGGAAUAUUGCACAAUGGAGGGAACUCUGAUGCAGCGACGCCGCGUGAGUGAAGAAGUAAUUCGUUAUGUAAAGCUCUAUCAGCAGGGAAAAAAGAGACGGUACCUGAAAAAGAAGCUCCGGCUAAAUACGUGCCAGCAGCCGCGGUAAUACGUAUGGAGCAAGCGUUAUCCGGAUCUACUGGGUGUAAAGGGAGAGUAGGUGGCAGAGCAAGUCCGAAGUGAAAACCCAAAGCUCAACUAUGGGA
rnacentral:rRNA from 1 species